rnacentral:lncRNA from 7 species
CUAUUUUGAAGAUACAAAAUGAAAUAUCAACAGAUGAAAUCCAAAAAUACAGCCAUAGAGAAAGCUGCUCUUCCAGAUGGAUCUGCUUUUUAGAUACUUGUCUGGCUCUUCGUCUUCAGUGGAAUGUUUUCACUGGUAUGUUAUUGCAGAAAAAAGAGCAGACUGGACUGAUUGUAGGAAGAGUAUUCUUUCCAAAUGACCCAAUGACUUAUCAAUUUUAAUUUAUUUUGUUUAAAUUAUACAUAUUGAGAUUCCAGCCAUGAAAUUGAUUGUAUAAUGGCAAUCCUCUGAGCCUGGGGGAGUCUUGCUGAAGUAUGGAUACUGGAAUAUGCUGAGACUUUUGUGUAUUUGGAACCAUAAAUACCAGUGGAGCUCACAGCUGUCCUCACUGCCAAGGAAUUUCUGCAUCUUAUUCAUACAUCUUUGGCUAUUUAUUGAUAUUUUGUUUCUGGGGAGUGCAUCUUAGGAAGCAUGGAUCUCAGUUAGAUGAUCUUUAAGGUGGAAUAGGCCAAAUCCAGUAAGCCUUUAUUGAUUUAGUGCUUAGUGGGGAGGCAUUAUAGCAUCUGGUGUCAUAAGGUGCUGAGAUAGAAGCAUGCAGUCAGUCUAAGUAAUGAGCUGUAACAAACUCAAGCUCCUUCUAAGUCUCCUUUCAUCUUCUCCUGUGUUAUAAAGCAAUACCCUAGUACAAAGAGGAUUAAGUAAACAGAUUAGAUUGACUGGGUCCAUAAUCAUUAGAGAACUGUAUAUCCCCCAGCCAUUGGUAAGUGGAAGAACAAUAGAUAAUGGGUGUGAAACAUUUAGUGUUCUCCAUUUUCUAUAUCCUUUUUACCUGAUCUAUGUUUGAUCAUCUUGUAGGAUCAAAAGGGUUCUCCUUGUGUGGGUACUGCUCUUGCAUACUCACUAGGAAAUCAGGAAGAAUUAAAGUAGAACAUUUACUGCUGUUACCUGAGCUGAGAAGUAGAGAAAUUCACAGAUAAAAUCACGGUCCUUGGAAAGAAGUGCUGGAAGAGGAAUCUGUGUGUGUGAGAUCCUAUGAUUAGUAUUAGUAUGAGAAGUAUUAAUUUUCUUCUCUGUACACUCUUGUUGCAUGUGUUUUGGGAAUGGAAAUACAAUAGCUUAUCAAAUGUAUAUUACUUCUGUGCCACUCUCCAUGUGAAUUAUCUAAGUCUAUUUGAGUAGAUAGAAAUUGGGACCUUUUUUCCUAUUCAUUGUUGAAAUGUGUCACAAUUUACUGCUUUACAUUUCAGGAAAAUAUAAGCAAGAAUCUUUAGAUAAAAUCAAAAUAAAAAAUAAAAGGAAGAAAAAUUGAUAGAC